UCAAGUAAUUAAGUGCAUGUGGUGGAUGCCUUGGCAGUCAGAGGCGAUGAAAGACGUGAUAGCCUGCGAAAAGCUCCGGGAGGCGGCAAAUAUCCUUUGAUCCGGAGAUGUCUGAAUGGGGGAACCCACCUACUUUAAGGUAGGUAUUGCAACAUGAAUACAUAGUGUUGCAAGGCGAACGAGGGGAAGUGAAACAUCUCAGUACCCUUAGGAAAAGAAAUCAAUUGAGAUUCCCUCAGUAGCGGCGAGCGAACGGGGAUCAGCCCAUUAAGUUAUGUGUGUUUUAGUGGAACGCUCUGGGAAGUGCGAACGUAGAGGGUGAUAUUCCCGUACACGAAAGGGCACACAUAAUGAUGACGAGUAGGGCGAGGCACGUGAAACCUUGUCUGAAUAUGGGGGGACCAUCCUCCAAGGCUAAAUACUCCUGACUGACCGAUAGUGAACCAGUACCGUGAGGGAAAGGCGAAAAGAACCCCUGUGAGGGGAGUGAAAUAGAUCCUGAAACCGCAUGCAUACAAGCAGUGGGAGCACCUUUGUGGUGUGACUGCGUACCUUUUGUAUAAUGGGUCAGCGACUUAUAUUCAGUAGCGAGGUUAACCGUAUAGGGGAGCCGUAGAGAAAUCGAGUCUUAAUAGGGCGUUUAGUUGCUGGGUAUAGACCCGAAACCAGGCGAUCUAUCCAUGAGCAGGUUGAAGGUUGGGUAACACUAACUGGAGGACCGAACCCACUGUCGUUGAAAAGCCAGGGGAUGACUUGUGGAUAGGGGUGAAAGGCUAAUCAAGCCUGGUGAUAGCUGGUUCUCCCCGAAAGCUAUUUAGGUAGCGCCUCGGACGAAUACCAUAGGGGGUAGAGCACUGUUUCGGCUAGGGGGUCAUCCCGACUUACCAAACCGAUGCAAACUCCGAAUACCUAUGAGUACUAUCCGGGAGACAGACUGCGGGUGCUAACGUCCGUAGUCAAGAGGAAAACAAUCCAGACCGCCAGCUAAGGCCCCAAAAUCAUAGUUAAGUGGGAAACGAUGUGGGAAGGCAUAGACAGCUAGGAGGUUGGCUUAGAAGCAGCCACCCUUUAAAGAAAGCGUAAUAGCUCACUAGUCGAGUCGGCCUGCGCGGAAGAUGUAACGGGGCUAAAACUAUGUGCCGAAGCUGCGGAUGUAUACUUUGUAUACGUGGUAGGGGAGCGUUCUGUAAGCCGAUGAAGGUGUGUUGAGAAGCAUGCUGGAGGUAUCAGAAGUGCGAAUGCUGACGUGAGUAACGACAAAACGGGUGAAAAACCCGUUCGCCGAAAGACCAAGGGUUCCAGUCCAACGUUAAUCGGGGCUGGGUGAGUCGACCCCUAAGGCGAGGCCGAAAGGCGUAGUCGAUGGGAAAAUGGUUAAUAUUCCAUUACUUCUGUGUAAUGCGAUGAGAGGACGGAGAAGGCUAAAUCAGCCUGGCGUUGGUUGUCCAGGUGAAAGGAUGUAGGCAUGUAUCUUAGGCAAAUCCGGGGUACUCUAUGCUGAGAUCUGAUAGCAAGCUGUACUUGUACAGCGAAGUGGUUGAUGCCAUGCUUCCAGGAAAAGUCUCUAAGCUUCAGUUACACAGGAAUCGUACCCGAAACCGACACAGGUGGUCAGGUCGAGUAGACCAAGGCGCUUGAGAGAACUCUGCUGAAGGAACUAGGCAAAAUGGUACCGUAACUUCGGGAGAAGGUACGCUGUUGUUGGUGAUGGAACUCGCUUCCUGAGCUGACGACAGCCGCAGAAACCAGGCCGCUGCAACUGUUUAUUAAAAACAUAGCACUCUGCAAACACGAAAGUGGACGUAUAGGGUGUGAUGCCUGCCCGGUGCUGGAAGGUUAAUUGAUGGGGUUAGCGUAAGCGAAGCUCUUGAUCGAAGCCCCAGUAAACGGCGGCCGUAACUAUAACGGUCCUAAGGUAGCGAAAUUCCUUGUCGGGUAAGUUCCGACCUGCACGAAUGGCAUAAUGAUGGCGGCGCUGUCUCCAGCAGAGGCUCAGUGAAAUCGAAAUCGCUGUGAAGAUGCAGUGUACCCGCGGCUAGACGGAAAGACCCCGUGAACCUUUACUGCAGCUUGACACUGAACUUUGACCUUACUUGUGUAGGAUAGGUGGGAGGCUUUGAAGCUGGAACGCUAGUUCCAGUGGAGCUGCCCUGGACACACCGCCCUGGUAAUGUUGAGGUUCUAACUCUGUCCCGUGAUCCGGGACGAGGACCGUGUCUGGUGGGUAGUUUGACUGGGGCGGUCUCCUCCUAAAGAGUAACGGAGGAGUACGAAGGUGCGCUCAGCGUGGUCGGAAAUCACGCGUAGAGUAUAAAGGCAAAAGCGCGCUUAACUGCGAGACCCACAAGUCGAGCAGGUACGAAAGUAGGUCUUAGUGAUCCGGUGGUUCUGUAUGGAAGGGCCAUCGCUCAACGGAUAAAAGGUACUCUGGGGAUAACAGGCUGAUACCGCCCAAGAGUCAAUUCAAUCCGCG
rnacentral:rRNA from 1 species